AUUGAACGCUGGCGGAAUGCUUUACACAUGCAAGUCGAACGGCAGCACGGGGCAACCUGGUGGCGAGUGGCGAACGGGUGAGUAAUACAUCGGAACGUGCCCAAUCGUGGGGGAUAACGUAGCGAAAGUUACGCUAAUACCGCAUACGAUCUACGGAUGAAAGCGGGGGAUCGCAAGACCUCGCGCGAAUGGAGCGGCCGAUGUCAGAUUAGGUAGUUGGUGGGGUAAAGGCUCACCAAGCCGACGAUCUGUAGCUGGUCUGAGAGGACGACCAGCCACACUGGGACUGAGACACGGCCCAGACUCCUACGGGAGGCAGCAGUGGGGAAUUUUGGACAAUGGGCGCAAGCCUGAUCCAGCCAUUCCGCGUGCAGGAUGAAGGCCUUCGGUUGUAACUAGCUUUGUACGGUACGAACGGUUACGUCUCUAAUACAGGGGCGUAAUGACGGUACCGUAAGAAUAAGACACCGGCGUAACUACGUAGCCAGCAGCCGCGGUAAGAGUAGUA
rnacentral:rRNA from 1 species